rnacentral:tRNA from 1 species
GGCCCAGUAGUUCAAUUGGAUAGAAUAUCAGAUUUCGGCUCUGAGGGUUGGGGGUUCGAAUCCUCCCUGGGUCACUA